UAUAUACGGCAGAAAACGCACUUGAGACGGUUGUUGGAGUUUUUAAAACACAUUUUAAGCAUGUUUUAAAAACUCCAACAACCGUCUCAAGUGCGUCUUCUGCCG
rnacentral:pre_miRNA from 1 species